rnacentral:tRNA from 1 species
CACAGCUGAACCAGAAGGAUGAGUAGGAUUCAGUCCAAAGAAGGGGGAGAAAGUGGGUGAGGCUAAAGGAAAGUAUGCCAGGCAGAGAGCCGUGUUUACACAGCCUCCCCAGUGCGUAUGGCAGUGUGCGGAGCCGCGAGAUGGAGGCGAAGGAUGUGGCUGGGAAAGAAGGCAGAAUUCUGAUCAUCGAGGGCCUGGGGGAACAUAAGAAGGAGAAGAGGAUCCAUUUUUAGGGAUAGUUUGAACUUUGAUGGAGGCCAACGCUUGAGAAAAGGAACUCUUUGGGAAUGAACCCCUGUGUGCCUCCCAGUUGUCUCCCUGUCAGUUUCCACAGCCGCCUGCCUGACGGAGAGGGAAGGUUUCUAAAGAGGGAAAACUCAAGGAGCUAUUUGCUGGCACCCCUGAGGAACUUUGGGAGCACAGAUUAUUCUGAGCUGUCUUUGAGCUCAGUCAUCCUUUGCUCUCAGAAGACCAGACAGGAGCCAGAUGAGAAAGAGCUAGAGAUGCUUUGUCAGCUUCUUACUGUUCAGGCCACCAGGAAGAGAGAGAGGACAGCCGGUCCCUCUGAGAUCAAACUCCAGAAACUGCCGCACUGGUACAUUUUGUGCUCACAACAACUGAACUGGUUAAACAACUGCCUGACCCUGGGAUUGCUGGCCGGGAGCCCAGGCCCAGCUGCUCAUGGGAAGAUCUAGCUAAAGCCAAGUGGAGAUGGAGGCGUUGCCUCUGAGUCCUUUCUGAUGCAGGUUUGGAUGAAGGCUCACACACAUGACCACAUUCGUCCCUUGAUCCAGUGGCUCUCAGCCUGGCUGCCCAACAGGACCUUGGCAGUGCUCUCAAUUGCCCAAGUGGGAGCCAAAAGCACAUGCAGCAGCUCCCUGGGGGAAGACCACCGCAGCGGUGCACAACCGAGGCUGAAAAUGACCUGCCUGCAUAACAUGAAGGGUCCACUUCAUGCUUGGGACAUAACCCUGGCUACUCUGCCACUGCAGCUUGUUUUAAAAUGGACAUGGGGGGGCUGUGGUUGUGGCUCAGCAGUAGAGCGCUCACCUAGCAUGUGCAAGGCCCUGGGUUCGGUCCUCAGCACCACAUAAA